AUGUCUGACCAAUCCGUGAAACUCAACAUGCUUCUUCUGCUGGCGUUUCUGCUGCUGUCUUAUGGAGCUGGCAAUGCCCGUUGCUCAACUGUUCAUGCGAACAUCACAGACAUUCUCUCCUUGCUCCGAUUCAAAAGGUCCACCCACGAUCCAACAGGUUCCUUGAGGAACUGGAACCGAAGCAUCCAUUACUGCAAGUGGAAUGGUGUCUCCUGCAGCUUACUGAAUCCAGGGCGGGUGGCGGCUUUGGAUCUCCCUGGCCAAAACUUGUCAGGUCAAGUCAACCCUUCUCUUGGGAACAUAACGUUCCUUAAGCGCCUGAAUUUGUCCUCCAAUGGCUUCUCCGGCCAGUUACCUCCUCUGAGUCAGCUCCAUGAGCUGACGCUUCUUGACAUGAGCUCUAACUUAUUCCAAGGGAUAAUCCCCGAUUCACUCACACAAUUUUCGAACCUACAGCUCCUGAAUUUGUCCUACAAUGGCUUCUCCGGCCAGUUACCUCCUCUGAACCAGCUUCCCGAGCUGGUGGUUCUUGACUUGAAAUCCAAUUUAUUCCAAGGGAUAAUCCCCGACUCACUCACAAACUGUUCGAACCUCACGUUUGUGGAUCUUUCAAGAAACAUGCUAGAAGGCUCAAUCCCGGCGAAAAUAGGUUCGCUUUACAAUCUAAUGAAUUUAGACCUUUCUAGGAAUAAACUCACCGGGGUCAUACCACCAACCAUCAGCAAUGCCACCAAGCUACAAUUUCUCAUUCUUCAAGAAAAUGAACUAGAGGGAAGCAUACCCAGUGAGCUUGGACAAUUGUCCAACAUGAUCGGCUUUACUGUUGGUAGCAAUAGGCUCUCAGGUCAAAUACCAGCAUCAAUCUUUAAUCUUACUUUGCUCCGAGUGCUAGGCUUGUACGCAAAUAGACUACAAAUGGCGGCACUGCCACUUGACAUUGGCCACACCCUCCCUAAUCUCCAAAAUAUUACUUUGGGCCAAAACAUGCUUGAAGGUCCUAUCCCAGCGUCGCUAGGUAACAUUUCAAGCCUGCAAUUAAUAGAGUUAUCUAAUAACAGUUUCACUGGAGAAAUUCCUAGUUUCGGAAAGCUACAGAAACUUGUAUACCUAAACCUUGCGGACAAUAAGCUGGAGUCAAGUGACAGCCAAAGAUGGGAAUCUUUAUAUGGACUAACAAACUGCAGUCAUCUAAAAUCGCUCAGAUUCAAGAAUAAUCAGCUGAAAGGAGUCAUACCAAAUUCGGUAGGUAAAUUGUCCCCUAAACUUGAACUUCUACAUCUGGGUGGAAACAAUCUAUCAGGAAUAGUUCCUUCAAGCAUAGGAAACCUUGAUGGCUUAAUAGAUUUGGAUCUUAGCACAAACAGUUUCAAUGGUACAAUUGAAGGAUGGGUAGGAAGUCUUAAAAAACUACAAUCUCUAGAUCUUCAUGGAAACAAUUUCGUUGGAGCCAUUCCACCCUCUUUUGGCAACCUUACUGAGCUAACAUAUCUGUAUUUAGCAAAAAAUGAAUUUGAAGGGACCAUACCUCCCAUUCUCGGGAAACUUAAAAGACUCUCAGCCAUGGACCUUAGCUAUAAUAAUCUUCAAGGUGACAUUCCUCCAGAACUCAGUGGGCUUACACAACUCCGUACACUGAAUCUUUCAUCUAACAGACUUACAGGAGAAAUUCCUGUUGAUCUGAGCCAGUGUCAAGACCUGGUAACCAUCCAAAUGGACCAUAAUAACUUGACGGGUGACAUUCCAACCACUUUUGGUGACCUUAUGAGCUUGAACAUGCUCAGCCUUUCCUAUAAUGAUUUAUCAGGGGCCAUCCCUGUAAGUCUUCAACAUGUCAGCAAGUUGGACUUAUCUCAUAAUCACCUCCAAGGAGAAAUCCCACCAGAAGGAGUGUUUAGGAAUGCCUCAGCCGUUUCGCUUGCUGGCAAUUCAGAGCUUUGUGGAGGGGUGUCGGAACUGCAUAUGCCUCCAUGCCCAGUUGCUUCUCAGAGAACUAAGAUACGAUAUUACUUGAUCAGGGUAUUGAUACCAUUAUUUGGCUUCAUGUCGCUCCUAUUAUUGGUCUACUUUCUAGUCCUCGAGAGGAAAAUGAGAAGAACAAGAUAUGAAUCACAGGCUCCUUUGGGUGAGCAUUUCCCUAAAGUUUCUUACAAUGAUCUGGUUGAAGCAACAAAGAACUUUUCCGAGUCUAACCUGCUUGGGAAAGGAAGCUAUGGUACAGUGUACAAGGGAAACUUGGUGCAGCAUAAGUUGGAAGUGGCAGUGAAGGUUUUUAACCUUGAGAUGCAAGGCGCGGAGAGAAGCUUCAUGCCAGAAUGUGAAGCGCUGAGAAGCGUUCAACACCGGAAUCUUGUUUCCAUCAUAACUGCAUGUUCUACUGUUGAUAGCGACGGUAGAGCUUUCAGGGCCCUAAUUUACGAGUUCAUGCCCAAGGGGAACUUGGACACGUGCCUUCAUCACAAGGGGGACGGCAAAGCUGAUAAGCAUCUGACUUUAACUCAAAGAAUCGGCAUAGCUGUCAACAUAGCAGAUGCACUGGACUAUUUACAUAAUGACAGCGAAAACCCCAUCAUCCAUUGUGAUCUGAAGCCCAGCAAUAUUCUUCUUGAUGAGGACAUGGUUGCUCAUUUGGGGGAUUUCGGUAUUGCAAGGAUUUUUCUUGAUUCUGGGCUAAGACCAGCAAGCUCGACGAGUUCAAUUGGUGUAAAAGGAACGAUAGGCUAUAUCCCACCAGAGUACGGCGGGGGAGGCCGUAUAUCUACUUCUGGGGAUGUCUACAGUUUUGGGAUAGUGCUGCUGGAGAUGUUGACUGGCAAAAGGCCAACAGAUCCUAUGUUUAUGGAUGGACUGGACAUCGUCAACUUCGUGGGCAACAAGUUUCCACAUCAAAUACAUGAAGUGAUUGACAUUUAUCUAAAAGGAGAGUGCGAGUCAGAAGAUUCGGUUCAUCAGUGCCUCGUGUCUCUGCUGCAAGUAGCAGUCUCCUGCACACACUCCAUCCCCGGCGAAAGAGCGAACAUUAGAGAUACAGCUAGCAAGCUCCAGGAAAUUAAGGCGUCAUAUCUUGGAAGGAAGGCAAAGAUAAAUCCUUCAGUUUAA
rnacentral:rRNA from 1 species